rnacentral:rRNA from 1 species
AUUGAACGCUGGCGGCAGGCCUAACACAUGCAAGUCGAGCGGAUGAAGGGAGCUUGCUCCUGGAUUCAGCGGCGGACGGGUGAGUAAUGCCUAGGAAUCUGCCUGGUAGUGGGGGAUAACGUCCGGAAACGGGCGCUAAUACCGCAUACGUCCUGAGGGAGAAAGUGGGGGAUCUUCGGACCUCACGCUAUCAGAUGAGCCUAGGUCGGAUUAGCUAGUUGGUGGGGUAAAGGCCUACCAAGGCGACGAUCCGUAACUGGUCUGAGAGGAUGAUCAGUCACACUGGAACUGAGACACGGUCCAGACUCCUACGGGAGGCAGCAGUGGGGAAUAUUGGACAAUGGGCGAAAGCCUGAUCCAGCCAUGCCGCGUGUGUGAAGAAGGUCUUCGGAUUGUAAAGCACUUUAAGUUGGGAGGAAGGGCAGUAAGUUAAUACCUUGCUGUUUUGACGUUACCAGCAGAAUAGGCACCGGCUAACUUCGUG